GGACUGUAGUAUAAUUUUAGGAAAACAACAAACACACGAUAACAUUAUAUAUAAAGGAAUUAAUGAGGCAGUUGGAAUAGUUAACGAAGAAAUGGCAAAGUGCUCAUGUCCUUGCAAGGCUAUUGCCCUUAUACAACCAUUUUCCCAUCCACUUGAUUGUCCAUUAAUCAGAUAAUGCUUUCGAUAGCUUUCAAUGAAUGUCCUUUCACAUGAGAUUCUAUGAUUCAACCACGUACAAACAUCGAGCUUCAGUAGCGUGGAAAUACAACCAUGUACAAAUAUCGAGCUUCAGUAGCGUUGCCAUUCGCAGGAGUAGUAAAAGAAAUGAACAUCUGCUAAUCUUUCAUUCUCUAAAUGAUUCAUGUUAUUUUGAAUGCUUAUUUAACACAGAAUCUCCGAAAAAUUACACAC